rnacentral:rRNA from 1 species
GGGGGGGGGGGGGGGGGGGCGGAACGCAGGGGGGGCGGGGGGGGGCGGGGGGUUAGCUGGCGAAGACGGGGGGCGGCGGGCGCACGGGUGCGGAACGCGUAUGCGACUUGCCUCACAGAGGGGGAUAACCCGUCGAACGACGGCCUGAUACCGCGUACACUUGGGAUCGGCCGUCGUGACCCCCGGAAGUGAACUUCGCUGUGAGAUCGGCAUGCGUCCCAUUAGCUAGUUGGUGAGGUAACGGCUCACCAAGGCGACGAUGGGUAGGGGAACUGAGAGGUUGAACCACCAGACUGGUACUGAGACACGGACCAGACUCCUACGGGAGGAAGCAGUGAGGAAUAUUGGUCAAUGGGCGAGAGCCUGAACCAGCCAAGUCGCGUGAAGGAUGACUGUCUUAUGGAUUGUAAACUUCUUUUAUACGGGAAUAACAAGAGCCACGUGUGGCUCCCUGCAUGUACCGUAUGAAUAAGCAUCGGCUAACUCCGU